rnacentral:piRNA from 1 species
CUAAAGCACAAACCAGUCAGGCAGGCUGU